rnacentral:rRNA from 1 species
AAGGUUUCCGUAGGUGAACCUGCGGAAGGAUCAUUAGUGAAUAAACUUGUGUGGGUUGUUGCUGGCCUUUUCGGAGGCAUGUGCACGCUCGCCAUUGUUUCAUUCCUCCCUUCCACCUGUGCACUUUCUGUAGACCAGGCUCGUCACCCCCCUUCAGCAGUGUUCUGCACUCCUGGUGUGAGGAUUUGCUCCGGCUGUCCUUGGAUUGGUCUGGUCUAUGUUUUAUCAACUCUUAUUGCAUGGUAUCGAACGUCUGUCUGGGUUCUAUAUGACCCAUAAAACCUAUACAACUUUCAACAACGGAUCUCUUGGCUCUCGCAUCGAUGAAGAACGCAGCGAAAUGCGAUAAGUAAUGUGAAUUGCAGAAUUCAGUGAAUCAUCGAAUCUUUGAACGCACCUUGCGCUCCUUGGUAUUCCGAGGAGCAUGCCUGUUUGAGUGUCAUUAAAUCCUCAACCCCACCGUUCUUAGUGGACGGUUGGAGUUGGAUGUGGAAGCUGCUGGCUUGCUGGUCAGCUCUUCUGAAAUGCAUUAGCAGGGCCCACCGUGUGUAGCCUACAGCUUGGUAUUGAUAGAUGUCUUACCAGGUUGACAGCGCGUCGUACAGAGGGUGCUCAGCUUCUAGUCGUCUCUGCGAGACAACGAUCUGACGAUUUGACCUCAAAUCA